GCUGGGCGUGGUGGCUCACGCCUGUAAUCCCAGCACUUUGGGAGGGAGGCUGAGGCAGGUGGAUCACCUGAGGUCAGGAGUUCGAGACCAGCCUGGCCAACAUGGUGAAACCCUGCCUCUA
ensembl:misc_RNA Metazoa_SRP Metazoan signal recognition particle RNA